GUGGAAACAAUGCAGUUUGACAACCACUUUUAACUGCCAUGGCUCAAUGUCAUGGAAUCGUCAGAGUUGUCCUUUGGUGAGGCACCAGCACACUUUGGCAGAGAAGGCUAAAGACCUGUAGAACUACAACUCUAUGGUACCUGGUGGAACUACACCUCCCAUUGUACUUCGUAGAACUACAACUCCUAUGGUACCUUGUGGAACUACACCUCCCGUUGUACUUUGUAGAACUACAACUCCUAUGGUACCUUGUAGAACUACAACUCCUAUGGUACCUUGUGGAACUACACCUCCCAUUGUACUUUGUAGAACUACAACUCCUAUGGUACCUUGUAGAACUACAACUCCUGUGGCACUUUGUACAACUACACCUCCUAUGGUACCUUAAAUUACAACUCCUAUGGUACUUUGUAGAACUACAAUUCUUAUUAGCCUCCCUAAGUCCCCUUGGGGAGAGGGGACAGGAUAUAAACAAAGCUUUAUUAUUAUUAUUAUGGUUUCAUAGCAUUGAGCCAUGGCAGCUAAAGUGGAGGCACACUUCGUGGAUUCUGUUGUGUACACACACCAAAGAGACACCUUGGUUGUUGCCCUUUGGCUGUGUUAUAGUAUAGUUUCCAUUUGUUCAGAUUUCCAGCUAAGGUUUGUCUGUUUUUGGUGAGGUUUCCAGUUUUGUUUAUUCCCCUGCCUGUGUGCGCACUGUUUUCCCUCCUUGGGCAAUGAAGCUGGUGUACUUUGCUGGUUCAUUGUCCGCACCCAUAUUUUUCUGCCUUCAAGCAGAGAGAGAAAGAGGCAGCCACCUCAGGUAGCAGAUUUUGAGCACAAGGUUCGCCACUUAUUGUUGAAUGUGUAUUGUCUUAGAAGUUUGUGUGUCUCCUUUUUUCCCUCCUGGCAAACAAUUUGAUUUGGCUCCUCCAGGUAUGGGCAAACUUUGGCCCUCCAGGGGUUUUGGACUUCAACUCUCAUAAUUCCUAACAGCCAGGUUGUUGUGGGUAGGGCAACCAGUGAGCAUUGUAGAUGGGUAAGGGUUUGAGCAUGGUCUUCAUUUUAGGCCCUUCCACAAGCCAUAUAACCCAGAAUAUCAAGGCAGGAAAUAUAUCUGCUUUGAAUUGGGUUAUCUGAGGGCCCUUCCAGACAGGCCCUAUAUCCCAUGAUCUGAUCCCAGGUUUUCUGUUUAUCCCAGAUUAUCUUGCAGUGUGUACUCAUAUAAUCCAUUUUAAAGCAGAAGACCUGGGAUAUAGGGCCUGUGGAAGGGCGCUGAGUCCGCACUGAGUCCAUAUUUGCCAGUUCAAACCAAAUAUUGUGGGAUUUUGUGCCUUGAUAUUCUGGAUUAUAUGGCUUUGUGGAAGGGCCCUGAGAGUCUGAUGUUACAUCACACUUCCUGACUGUCAUAUGAACCCAUUUCUAUGCCUAUUGCAAUUCCAGGUAACUCACAUAACCAUGGGAAGAAGUUUGAAACUGCAGUCCUAUGAGUGCUUACUUGGAAUAAACCUCGUUCAGUACUAGUCUUUCGACUGAGUAAACAGAUACUGGGUGUAUUGUUACAGUCCAUGCACAAAAUUAAUUCAGAAUACUACAGUACAAAGUUAAUGCCUCUGUGAUCUUAUAGUGAUCAAAUGGAAACAACCAUUACUUUAACUGGGAAAGUCCACCAUUUGCAACUUGUUGACUCCUAAAUUAAUUAUGGGUACUAAAAUUAUCUGUGUGUGCUGGAGAAGAAGUGAUUACAAUUAAAAAGGCAAUUACUUGCUUUUUUAACUUUCCUGAUUAGUCACAGAGUGGUGUCUUGUUUUUUUUAAAAAAUAAAUAACAAUUUGUACCUUGUAAAAGAGGUACACAGAAUGAUGUGUCUCUUCCCUAUCGUUCUGCUGCACCUGUAUUGAAUAAACAUUUCAGAAUUAUUUGGACUUGAGGUACAACUUGCAGAACUCUAAAACUGCACAACCGCAGAUAGAUAUUGUAACGUUAGCAUUGUUGUGGCUGCUUACCUCACAGAGAAAGAAAAGCCAGAAAAACAAGAGCUUUGUACAACUCUGUUGACUCUUUCUAUUGCUUGUUUCAUCGUUGGAAUUGCAUUGCUGCUUAGAGAGUAUACAUUUAUGUUUGGUCAGAAAAAUUUUCUUCCUUUUUGCGACUUCCAAAAGCUGUUCUUAAGGGUUUAUGUGAUAGUAAGGUAUAGCUGCUUGUGUAUCCAUAACUAACAUUUCAUGGUUUGUGUGUUGUGUGACUAUGACUGGAGAUCAAAGAUUGAAUCUCCAGUUGUGAAAACCCACUGGCUGACCUUAAGCAAGCUGCCACAAGUUGGGUAUGACUUGAGAGCAAACAACAAUAAGCAAUGAUAUAUGAAACUAUCAGAAAAAGGGUUACCUUACUUAACUCUUUAUUAUUCCUAGUGCUUCCAAACAUUUGUUUACAAUAUACAGAGCU
rnacentral:lncRNA from 1 species